rnacentral:rRNA from 1 species
UACGUAGGGUGCGAGCGUUGCCCGGAUUUAUUGGGCGUAAAGAGCUCGUAGGCGGUGUGUCGCGUCGACCGUGAAAACCUGCAGCUUAACUGUGGGCGUGCGGUCGAUACUGCUAUGACUUGAGUCCGGUAGGGGCGCAUGGAAUUCCCGGUGUAGCGGUGAAAUGCUUAGAUAUCGGGAGGAACACCAGUGGCGAAGGCGGUGCGCUGGGCCGGAACUGACGCUGAGGAGCGAAAGCGUGGGUAGCAAACAGG